rnacentral:rRNA from 1 species
GGGAUCGUAGGUGAGGGGCAGCGGCAAGGAGAGGACGGCGGAUGGAGUGGAGACGACGAGAGGGGUGGCAAGCAGGGGAAGGACGGUAAGCGGAGAGAGACGGCGAGCGCGGCGGCAGCGGUAGCUUCUAGACGACGAGCGCGACGGCGAAGGACUAGCGGAGCGCGCAGUGCAGCAGCCCUCCUCUCCUUCCAGCGCGACGAGAAGGGGCUCCUCGCGCGGCAACGCGGCAGUUGCCCUCCUCCGGUCCGCCUCACUGCCCUCCUCCAGUUGGCCUCGCGCGGGAGCCGUGGCAGACCGCGCAACUGCCCUCCUCCUGUCCACCACGCGCAGUAACGUUGGCCGAUCGUGUUCCCGCCUCGGUAGUCAUCGCCACCGCCAACCCGACUACACCUGUACCGACGUUCGAGCUGCACUCCGUCGCAAUCGCUGCUCGAGUGGUCCAUCCAAGGACGUUUCCCCUAAAUUCUCUACAAGCCUAGAUCGAUUUGUACUUCUGACUUGACUAUCUAAAACAGAUGAUGGAUAGUUCAAGUAAGCAGGUGUAAAUAGAGGAAAAUACCAGUCACCACUUCUCCCGUGGCGUAGGCCCAUGGUUUCGGUAGGUACGGUAAGGCAUGAGGAGAGUAGUAUGUGAACUAGUAAAGAAACAACACCUACAGGUGCCGUUCUUACUUCGUACCUGGAAGUGCAGGGAUCCGUCUUUUCUGUAUGACUAAACUUCUGGUGGAGUUAACAAACCCUAGACCUAACAGAUAUGUAUAAAACAACCACCAACCGGCUAAACCGGGUAGUAUUAAAACAGGACGAUGGUACGUCAAGAUACAUGGUACGUUAAAAAAAGGAGGUAGGACCAGAGUUCUAUAACGGCUCCCUCGCCGACUACCUCCGCCAGACGUCUACCGCACGCUCAGUUCCUCCAGGUGGCGUUCGCCGGCUACUACCCGCGUGGCCGCUACUCUAGAGGCCACCUUUCUACGUAGGUCCGGGGCUGGUGGAGAGGUGGUGCUGCACGGUCGGUCAAGAGAGAACGGGGAGGAAGAUGUGGUUUAGCGGCAGAGUGGGUGGUCAAGGUCUCCCCCGUCUUCUCCUCGGUAAACGUGAGUGGUCAUUCAACGCCUUCCGAUGUUGGAGAGAGCUACUCAUGACGGAGCCGAUGUUGGAGGGAGCCCCUCGAGGUAGAAGGAGGACGACGAGACGAAGCCGAUGAUCUAGCCCUAGCGCGGAACCGCGCUCCCACGACCAGGGUUGCUGCACCGGUUCGCCCAUUUCUACUCUACGAUACUACGCAAUCAUCUUUCCUAUCAUUCACGUCGAGUAGGUAUUAGUGAUUUUUACUAUGUUAACACCUACAUCCAAAGAUAACUUUGUUAGUGAUUUUUACUAUUUAUACGUUCACCACUGUCUAACAACAAUGGUACACCUGGAAUUCGAGGUGGUAAAGGAUGAAAACGAGAGGAUCGGUUGGGAUCCAAAGGGCCGUUCCGCUACCACACGCUUGGUACACGCGGACGGAUCGACAUAACGCCGAGUGCCUACGCCGCCUCCACCGUGUACUCGUCUACUUUCUCCUUAUUGACUUCGGGGUUACGGAGGUGUAUAAGAACGAGUGGCUGUUACCCUCAUGAUCCAACGUUUGAGGAAGGGGAAGGGAAUAUAAAUGUUAAGGAAAAUCUAAUAGGUAGUGGCUACAACUAACAACUGACUUUAUAAAUCAAGACAACAACGUGUGGUAUAGACGUGUGAUACACAAAUAGAUAAAUCAACCAGGAGUGACAAUGAUUUUUAUCUAUCCAACAGGUGCUACCUACAGCUUAAACCACAACUUUAACAAUUACUCUUAGAUAUCUCACGGAUUACAAUUGGAAAGAAGAUACGGGGUUUACGUGAUAGUCACAACCAGUCGAUGUUUCUUGUAUCGUACUAUAGCGACCUAAUUUUACCUCCAUGUAACUAAUGUUAGGUCGUCUCCUUGAGUUGCUCAGUUUUUUGAGUAUCUUUCAAUGGUUGAGUGGAGUGUGAACUAGACAAUCGAAAAAAUCGAAAGUCAUCAUCGUACAUACCAGUACAUCUACUCAAUAAGUAUUUCGAAUUUCCACAGAGAAACAGGAAGUAAAAACCAAUGAAACUUAGCAAAAUUUACCUGCGACUUAGGAUGAUGUACGAUACAAGAUAGUACGACUAGAUAUCAAAACAACGGAUAAGAAACACAGUUUUGAGAACGAGGCUAAAGUGUACUAGAUUAAUCACAAGUUAUGUCUUGUUGGGAAAACCUAAUACUGAUUAGAGAGAUAAUAAAACAUACCACGGAGGUGAUUAUACAGUAAUGAAAUGUAAAGUUCAAAAGUCACACUUUGUUACUAACAUAGAGGACGGUGACUUCUAUAGAUUACCCCUUGUACAUUUACUCUGGACCUUUACUUCCGUUGUACAAAAUAUGUAAUAAAACAAAACAAGUAUGCUGGACAAAGCCGAAAACUCUAGUCAAAGUUCUAGAACUAUGAAACUUCAAAUAUGACGUGAAGUGUAUUUUUAUGGACCCGUAUACAAAAAAAAUAAGUCGUUUCACUUGUAGAUAUGAACCUACGAAAAAGGUGUCCGUAGAGUGAUCACUGAACUAAUGACUACCUUCCUAGAGGUACUGCUAACUACAACCCUUAGUAAACGGAGAUGUGGCUACUGGGAGAGUACAACAUAAUAUGUUACUCGAUGGUACUGCAGGAGGUGGCUGUCGAUAAACUUGGAGUCACGUUUAAGAAGACAUUUUUACUGAGCGUAGUUCAGAAAACGUGAAAGGAGAGCUGAAAGAUUUACACCUAGUAUAAUACACAAUAACGAAAUAAACUCUAUAUAGUUACCGGUACCUC